UCAUUCUUCGCAGAGGGAAGCGAAGAGGAUCCGAGGUUCGUCUCGGCGCAAUAUCUGAAAUAUUCUUGCAGCCGACAUGAACACUCGGAUCCCAUCUUCUCCCUUGUAUGGAUGUAUAAGUUAGGUUUUUUUCUAGAUCAGAGAAGUGACCGAGUACCCAAUGUUUGCUUGACCAUGCCAGGAACCACCAACGGGUUCAUAUGAACCGAUUU